CGCCAGACUCCUACGGGAGGCAGCAGUGGGGGAUAUUGCACAAUGGGGGAAACCCUGAUGCAGCGACGCCGCGUGAGCGAUGAAGUAUUUCGGUAUGUAAAGCUCUCUCAGCAGGGAAGAAAAUGACGGUACCUGACUAAGAAGCCCUGGCUAACUACGUGCCAGCAGCCGCGGUAAUACGUAGGGGGCAAGCGUUAUCCGGAUUUACUGGGUGUAAAGGGAGCGUAGACGGUCCUGCAAGCCAGAUGUGAAAGCCCGGGGCUCAACCCCGGGACUGCAUUUGGAACUGUAAGGCUAGAGUGUCGGAGAGGCAGGCGGAAUUCCUAGUGUAGCGGUGAAAUGCGUAGAUAUUAGGAGGAACACCAGUGGCGAAGGCGGCCUGCUGGACGAUGACUGACGUUGAGGCUCGAAAGCGUGGGGAGCAAACAGGAUUAGAUACCCCAGUAAG
rnacentral:rRNA from 1 species